UGAAUCCUAAAAAAAAACCAAAAAGAAAAGGAACUAAAAAUAGGAAUUAUUAGCCUGAAGACUUAAGAUUUGAGAAACGCAACUAUCCUUUCACCUAUUUAACCUUCAAUCCAUGUCAUGAAACAAAAACUAUUGUUGCGGUCAUGGGGUAUUUAUGUAUUGCAUACAUCUGUAUUGCGUAGUUUUCCAUUUUACCGAUCCUUCUGUAUCUGUUGUGCCUUGUAUAUUUGUUAUUAUUAUACAUUUAUUAUUAUUUUACAUUUUGUAUCCCACUCUUCCUCCAAGCAGCCCAGAGAGGUGUACUACAUACUUCAGUUUCUCCUCACAACAACCCUGUGAAGUAGGUUAGGCUGAGAGAGAAGUGACUGGCCCAGAGUCACCCAGCAAGUAUCAUGGCUGAAUGGGGAUUUGAACUCAGGUCUACCCGGUCCUAGUCCAGCACUCUAACCACUACACCACGCUGGCAUAACUUUAUUUAUAUGCCAAAGGUGGAGGAGCCCAUAUCCUUGAGCUCACCACCUCCCGCCAAAGGACAAAUGUGAGCUGCUUUGAAGAAGCUCGGACCUUGCGGAGAAUUAUCUAAGAGAGCUGCUGGCUGCAAGGGGAAAGAAAUGAAAUAGGAUGAGCCCUUCGUUAGUAAAGCCCUCAAAAGCAGCAAAACAGACACGGAUGGCCUCCUACUAUUAAAAGAGAUGAUGGAUGUAUCAAUCUCCAAACCAAGAAAUCUGCACCUACUCGGCUCACUCUGUUUGGCUCACCCUCACCCCCACCCCUGGCCAUGCACAUUGGAGGCUAAAAUUAAGUGUGUCUUCGUGAAACUGAAUAGACAAGGAUGGAUGCAAAGUCAGAUAUGGAUCUUAUCUGGACUUGGGUGAAACUAUGAAAUUGGCCUGAUGCCCUGAUCUUUUCCAGAAUUAACGAAGUAAUGGGCCCAAUGUCCACAAUUGUUCACAUGCAUUGCACACCUGAAAGAAAAGAAAAUGCACAGAAAUGGAAGGAACUGGAAUUUGAAGGACCAGAUUCCAAAUCAAUGGUACAAAUUCUCAAAUUUUGUGAACUACCUGGAGCCUUUGGAGUCGGGCAGUAUAUAAAUAAAAUGAAACCAGAAUACAGGAAUAUUGAACAUGGAGCACUGCCAAUUUGCAGAAGGCUAAUGAGAUGGAAAAGGGGGGAAUCCAGCCAUCCUUAAAAACAGGCAAAGAGAAGAACAUUUUCACAUACAUCAAGAGCCUUUUAGAAUUCACUGCCAAAAACACAGAAGAAAGAGCAGACUUAUUCUCUCUUGCUCUUGGGAGAAGGACCAGCAAUGAAGCUGGCAGAAGCAAAACAGUGAAGCUGAUUGCUCAGUCAAAUGGCAGGACAUAGAGAAAGAGAAAGAUUACGUAUAAGAAGAAUACAGAAAAGUAAAGGCCCAAAUGGAGCUCUGUAAAUAAAGACAGAAUUAAUGUCA